rnacentral:rRNA from 1 species
GCCGCGAAUUCGCCCUUAGAGUUUGAUCAUGGCCCAGAAUAAACGUUGGCGGCGUGCUUAACACAUGCAAGUCGCACGAGAACUCUUCUGCUUGCAGAAGAUAGUAAAGUGGCGCACGGGUGAGUAACGCGUGGGUAAUCUACCUCUGAAUUGGGGAUAACAUUGUGAAAGCGAUGCUAAUACCGAAUAAUAUCCUGAGAACCUAUGUUUUUGGGAUCAAAGAUGGCCUCUACAUGUAAGCUAUUGUUUGGAGAUGAGCCCGCGUACCAUUAGCUUGUUGGUAGGGUAAUGGCCUACCAAGGCUACGAUGGUUAGCUGGUCUGAGAGGAUGAUCAGCCACACUGGAACUGACACACGGUCCAGACUCCUACGGGAGGCAGCAGUGAGGAAUUUUGCGCAAUGGGGGAAACCCUGACGCAGCAACGCCGCGUGAGUGAUGAAGGCUUUCGAGUCGUAAAGCUCUGUCAAGUGAGAAGAACCUGCUUUUUGUUAAUACCAUUAAGCACUGACGGUAUCACUGAAGGAAGCACCGGCUAACUCCGUGCCAGCAGCCGCGGUAAUACGGAGGGUGCAAGCGUUAUUCGGAAUUAUUGGGCGUAAAGGGCGCGUAGGCGGUCUUUUAAGUCAGAUGUGAAAGCCCGGGGCUCAACCCCGGAAGUGCAUUUGAAACUAAUGGACUUGAGUAUGGGAGAGGGAAGUGGAAUUCCUGGUGUAGAGGUGAAAUUCGUAGAUAUCAGGAGGAACACCGGUGGCGAAGGCG